rnacentral:rRNA from 1 species
UACGUAGGGGGCAAGCGUUGUCCGGAUUUAUUGGGCGUAAAGAGCGUGUAGGCGGCCUGAAAGGUCAGCUGUGAAAACUCGAGGCUCAACCUCGAGACGUCGGUUGAAACCAUCUGGCUAGAGUCCGGAAGAGGAGUGUGGAAUUCCCGGUGUAGCGGUGAAAUGCGCAGAUAUCGGGAAGAACACCCGUGGCGAAGGCGGCACUCUGGGACGGUACUGACGCUGAGGUGCGAAAGCGUGGGGAGCAAACAGG